AUGGACGCCGUGGGGGUCCCCUCCCCUGGCCAGAGUGCACAGCGACCCACAUGGGCCUCGCGGACCUGCCCCGCGCAGGGCUUACCCAGGCUGCUCUCGAAGCUCGCGCCAGCCCCCUCGGAUCCCAGCGGUCCCCUGGGGCUCUGGAGCGCCGCACUGCGCCGGCCGGCGGGGCCCGGAGGCUCCGCGCGCAGGACUGGACCGCCCACGCCCACCCCGGCGCCCCGGCCUCAAGCACAGCCGCUCACACACUACACCUGCCCCGCACCGGUCCCCACAAGCAACUGCGCCCCAACACACAAUUUCACAAACGCAGACCAAAAUGUGCACACCCAACCGCACACACGAUCCCCACGAGGAGCUGCCAUUCCAGGGGCACACCACGUCCUCGGUCACUCACAACUCCACCGCGCAGAAAAACACAGGCACCCCCCCAACACAUCCACACGCACACGCACACACACACACACGCCGAGAGCCCGAUCGCAGCGCACGCCGGUGCACACGCCCGCACUCCCUGCGGCCCCGCAGCCCGCCCCUUCGCUACCUGCUCCGGCGCAGGACGCGAUCCGCCGGCUUCCCGAGCCCAAGUUCGGCGCCGCCGACGCUGAGGCGGGCGCGGGCCGCUGUCCGGGACGAGCGAGCCAAGGCCAGGAAGGGUGGCUAGGAGCGCGGGCCUCCGUCCGCCCGCAGCCGCCGCGCCGGCCCUGCGCUCAUCGCCCCCCAGAAAGACAAAAGGAAGCUGGCAGCAAGGGAAGGAGCGAGGUGGAGGCGCCCGCCCGUCCGCCGGUCUGCCGGUCCGCCGCCCGCAGCCGCCGCGGCCCGCCUGCCAGCCGGGAGAAGGAAGGGACGCGAGGGCGGGACCCGGAGGCGGGGGCCGGGGGCGGGGCGCGCGGCCGGGGCGGGCGCUCAAGUCUCCUGCGGGCCCACCCCCGCUCGACCACGCCCCCAGGCCUAGCCCCGCCCCCGGCCGCCGCUCGGGUCCCGCCCCCGCCCCCGCCACGCCCCCUGCUGGCCAGUGGCGCGGGCCUCGGCCGUGUCCACGCGGGCCCCUAG
rnacentral:lncRNA from 1 species